rnacentral:rRNA from 1 species
UUUUAUUUGAGAGUUUGAUCCUGGCUCAGGAUGAACGCUGGCGGCGUGCCUAACACAUGCAAGUUGAGCGAUUUACUUCGGUAAAGAGCGGCGGACGGGUGAGUAACGCGUGGGUAACCUACCCUGUACACACGGAUAACAUACCGAAAGGUAUGCUAAUUUUAUUUGAGAGUUUGAUCCUGGCUCAGGAUGAACGCUGGCGGCGUGCCUAACACAUGCAAGUUGAGCGAUUUACUUCGGUAAAGAGCGGCGGACGGGUGAGUAACGCGUGGGUAACCUACCCUGUACACACGGAUAACAUACCGAAAGGUAUGCUAAUACGGGAUAAUAUAUUUGAGAGGCAUCUCUUAAAUAUCAAAGGUGAGCCAGUACAGGAUGGACCCGCGUCUGAUUAGCUAGUUGGUAAGGUAACGGCUUACCAAGGCGACGAUCAGUAGCCGACCUGAGAGGGUGAUCGGCCACAUUGGAACUGAGACACGGUCCAAACUCCUACGGGAGGCAGCAGUGGGGAAUAUUGCACAAUGGGCGAAAGCCUGAUGCAGCAACGCCGCGUGAGUGAUGAAGGCCUUCGGGUCGUAAAACUCUGUCCUCAAGGAAGAUAAUGACGGUACUUGAGGAGGAA